rnacentral:other from 1 species
CAUUGAACGGAUUCAACAGUAAUCAGGAUGAUUACUGCUAAGGACGGGAAAUGGACACCUCUGGAUGAGGCAAGGACUGUUCAUCAGGAUGAUGAAAAGGACACCGCUCAAGGAACAAGCGAAGCGAGUUAACUAGGAAAGUUGACUGACCAGGAUAGGGUCAAGGACACCGCUAGGAUGGCGACGAAAGGACUAAGCUGAAGGACAUCAGCAUACUAUCAAGGACUAGAUGCAUGGAGCACCUUAAGUAGCCGGAUUGCUGCGAGUAAGACUAUAACCCCGAUGGGCGCAAGCCCUCGGGGUUUUUUCUUU